rnacentral:tRNA from 1 species
GACCUCGUAGCUCAGCCGGUAGAGCAUCUGACUUUUAAUCAGAGGGUCUCGGGUUCAAAUCCCGACGAGGUCACCA